rnacentral:rRNA from 1 species
GUCGACGGCAGCGCGGGNGCAAUCCUGGNGGCGAGUGGCGAACGGGUGAGUAAUACAUCGGAACGUGCCCAAUCGUGGGGGAUAACGCAGCGAAAGCUGUGCUAAUACCGCAUACGAUCUACGGAUGAAAGCAGGGGAUCGCAAGACCUUGCGCGAAUGGAGCGGCCGAUGGCAGAUUAGGUAGUUGGUGAGGUAAAGGCUCACCAAGCCUUCGAUCUGUAGCUGGUCUGAGAGGACGACCAGCCACACUGGGACUGAGACACGGCCCAGACUCCUACGGGAGGCAGCAGUGGGGAAUUUUGGACAAUGGGCGAAAGCCUGAUCCAGCCAUGCCGCGUGCAGGAUGAAGGCCUUCGGGUUGUAAACUGCUUUUGUACGGAACGAAACGGCCUUUUCUAAUAAAGAGGGCUAAUGACGGUACCGUAANAAUAAGCACCGGCUAACUACGUGCCANCAGCCGCGGUAAUACGUAGGGNGCAAGCGUUAAUCGGAAUUACUGGGCGUAAAGCGUGCGCAGGCGGUAAUGUAAGACAGUUGUGAAAUCCCCGGGCUCAACCUGGGAACUGCAUCUGUGACUGCAUUGCUGGAGUACGGCAGAGGGGGAUGGAAUUCCGCGUGUAGCGGUGA